UACGUAGGGGGCGAGCGUUGUCCGGAUUUAUUGGGCGUAAAGAGCUCGUAGGCGGUUUGUUAAGUCGGACGUGAAAUCUCCACGCUCAACGUGGAGGGGCCGUUCGAUACUGUCGUGACUCGAGUCCGGUAGGGGAGUGUGGAAUUCCCGGUGUAGCGGUGAAAUGCGCAGAGAUCGGGAGGAACACCCGUAGCGAAGGCGGCACUCUGGGCCGGUACUGACGCUGAGGAGCGAAAGCGUGGGGAGCAAACAGG
rnacentral:rRNA from 1 species